AUCACUUUUAGCCCCAUCACAGAAACAAACGAACACAGCAUAGUAACAUAUUCACAUCUGAGAACAGGAAACUGAGGAAUGGAGCCCUCUCCGGUCUCUCUCAAGUAUGUGUAGAUUCUUAUUGUGAUGUCAACCCUGGCCAUCACGUGUGGUGACUCUGCUUUAUGGCAUUUAUAUUAGUGUCCCUGCUAAAUAUCAGGACUGGCCCACCAAACCUGGCUGUGGGCCCUUUUCAGUGCAAACCAAAGCUCAACAUCUUCCUAAGUCCAUUUUGAAUGCAUGAGAUUUGUUGGGCAGCUGAAAAUUGCUGUAGCAAUGAAGCACAAGAUGUGCCACCCAGGACAACCACAUCCAUAAAGAAAGGAGACCUCUUCUGGUUGCACAUCAGGAUGCAACCUCUUCUUGUACCAGAGGAAGCCAUCCAAACAUGGUUGAUGCCCUGUCCAAAGGAAGGCAACUCCAAGGAUGGCAAGGAUUCAGACGAAAGGAGCAAUGUGCUGCCUGUAAUUCAUCUCCUCCUCCGUGUCUUGCACAAACUCUCUUCUGCCAUCCAUAAACAACGCUUUGGAGCCCUCCCCAUUCAAUCCUUUUAUAAUCCCCAUGUUGAUAUACCUGGCUUCAUGCAGGCAGUGAUGACUUGCAUAUGUAGCUUGUAUGCAACCUCUCUGCAGAACCCCUCAGUCCCUUUCUUAGUGUCCCUCUGGACACUUAGUGUCAGCAUGUUACUGCAGCACGAAGUCUGGAGAAAAUGUCCCAAAUGGCCCAGAAGGGAGGGGGUGAAGGAGUCAGCAGGGCUGAGCCCAACUUGUUGGACCUGUCUCAGGAAGUGGGGAUCUACCUGGGUUCCGUCACUGUGUGUUUCCUGCCUGAAUGAAUCUUUUCAUGCUAGCUUCAGUUCUUCCCUCCAUCUCUCAAGAAGCACUCCUUUGCUCAACUUACGAUUAAAAGCAGGGUAAGCAGGUGCUGUCACCAGAGGAGCAAAUGCAAAUGUGGUGAAUUUGUCAUGAAAAGGGUAAGGAAACCUGGGCACACAUUCUCCAUCUCUGCAUAGCUUACAUGGCAAUUCAGGAAACCCAGCCAAAACCUGGGAUGCUGCCAGGGCUUGUGACCACAAAGAGGAGACAAGAUUAAUGCCAUAAUCCCUGUAGACCCUGAAGGAUAUCCUGAGCACAUUCCCCGAGGAACCUCAAUCUAAUCUAUACAAGGCCAUGAAAUCCUGGGCUAUCAUUCCACCAGCAGCUGCUGAACUUCGAAGGAGUGCUGUGGUUGCCAGUAAGGGACCUGGGGGGGGGGGCAGGAAUCCAGGAGACAUAUGCACUGUAUUCUAGGAAAAGAGAGUCCCAGGAGUUGUUCAUCAUCUCACUCUGCAGGACCCAGCCCUGUCCUGCUAUCCUACUCAAGUGAUCCAAGAGCUUCCCCUGGACAUCACUAGUGGGGAUGAGACAUUGGGCAUUUUUUGAUCAUCCCCUUCAAACAUCCAGGAGUUGAGGGAACAUGACAGAGUCCCUGAAGCUCAUGUGAGGAGGACCCCUCAACUCGCCUAGCUGUGCAUCACUGGGAGCACUGAGUAGAUGCAGUCUCAAUGGGGAGGGGGCUUGUAGGAUCCCUACCUGAUUGGGAGACUGCAAUGUCCUCGGGUCCCCUAAACCUCCAGUAAUGCUGUGGGAGAUACGGGGUCACCUCAGAGUACCACUUCCAAGUAUGAGUUUCAGGAUCUGUAGAUGCUGCCUCAUCUGUAGUCAAGUCGAUCAGGGAAGUCCACAGUGUCUGUUCCCCACACAGUCACAUCAGUGUGUAAAGUCACAUCCAUGUGAGAUAGGAGCAAAUAUCACCACCGCGUGUCCCACAACACUCACAUGUGCCAGGGUCCUUGACAGAGCAGGGGAUGUUGACAGCCUUCAAAUAGAGUAUGAAUAGGACAUCAAGCAGUGGAAGGACUCAGCAGUCAAAAAAUUAGGGCAAUCAGGGAAGGGGCCCGAAGACCCUGGGAUGUAGCCUUCAUUCAGCCCAGGGCCCAAACGUGGAAGGUUCUCUUCCUUCAUGCCAGCCAUGGAUUCUAUAGGGAAACUUCCACUCCAAGACCUCAAAAGGCAUGUUCCAAAAUAAACCCUAGACCAGUUGUCAGAUCUGCCCGAAACAGCAUGCCACACAAGCUCAUACAGCUCCACCUAAUGUUUUCUGCAGCUGCAAAAGAAAAUAGCUGGACCAUGUCCACGAUGCUCCAGAUGCCACAGAUUUCAGAGAAAGUGAACCAGGAGUGUCCUCGGUCCCCAGCCAACAGCUUUGAAGGUGGCCUAGAAGAACCAGAUGAAGACAAUACCUAAAUAAAAUUGGAAAAGAAACAAUGCUGGAGGAACUCCUCUCCUGCACCCGAAUCUUCUGGGCCAUACAAAUAGAAGAUGUUUGGGGUUGCAAUGAGCAGAGAAGACUGUGACUCCUGGGGACAAGGGGACCCAGCAAGAUGGCCACCACACCCUGGUUGGUUUUCCAGGCACCGCUGACGACUGACACUAUGAGGAGGAAGCAGCACUCCAGACCAUCAAUAGUGCCCUGUGGGGUGAGUGUGUGCCCAUCUGGAAGCAUGGGGCUGAGCAGCUUUCCAGGGUUUCCCCUUGCCUGCUGCAGGGCUGCUCCUGCUCCUGCUGUCUCUCCAGUCCCCAGCGGGAAUGUGCAGAAGGAGAGAUGCAGGAAAAUGCAAGUCUGCCAUGGUCAAUGGCCACCCUGGAAUGUGCUUUAGGGGCAACCUGGCUGUAUCCUUUGUGUCAAAGGACACCUGACUCAACUGGACCCCUCUCCUCCCUGAUAUAUCUGCUUCCAGACAUCUUUUCACACUCACUGUCCUCAGCCCCUUACACCCAGAUGGCCCCUGCUGACUUCCAGAUACAAAGCCAAGCCAGCAAGUCUUGGGCAGCACCACACAGGUAACUUUUGUUGAUUCAUCACCUAUUACUUCUCCCUUGGGCACAGGCACCAGCACCCAGCCAGGCUUUGCUGCCACCCAGCUAGAUGUCCCUGUGGCACAACCCCUGGAUCACUCCUAUUGCCUCCAUGCAGAAGACUGUGACCAGUGCUGGGCUGAACAUUGCCAGCAGCACCACAAAACAGGCCCACUUCAGUCUGGGGGUUUCGGAAGCACCAAUAGGUUUAGGGAGGAGAGGCUGCCCCACAUCUGAAUUCUAACUGUGGAGCACUCAUCACCAGAACAUUACCACGCGUGGCCCCAAGUAUCACACUGCAAUUUGGGACCUGAACACUUAGGACCCCCUCGCCAGAGACUCCAGUGGCAACCACGAGACCCAACAUUAAGGAAAACCAAGAAUUUGGAGACAUUACCCAACGCUCACAUUCCCAGUGCCUUGUUCACCAGAGUCCCCAGACAUAAAGCUGGGGGCCCAGCACCACUGUCUGGAAGACUCUCUUUAGAGCUGUUUGUCCAGCGUCUACUCUUAGCAUCCCUGCCCCAGUGGUAACCACAGUGAGGAGGGCCUUACCAAGAGUACCCAUCAUUACCUGUCCAGGGCUUGCUUAGACACAAAAUGCUGAGUUAUGCACCAUGACCUUUCUCUCCAGGGAAGCACCCACUUCCUUGGGUCUAAGAGUAGAAUGCUGGCCUUGAGAACCACUGUCCUUAGAAUUUUCCAAUGUCCACCUUCCUCCCAGGCUGGACCACAGGUGAACCUUGUUUCCAUUUGAAAUGCGUCUCUACCACUGACCUCUGUGGCCCUGGAUCAAACUAGAGGCCCACAGCACAGCAUGCUUGAAAGUGGGUGGUUUGAGGCUGCUGUUCAAUUUUUGUCGUUGGAGCCCUCAGCAUAGUAGACAGAGAACCAGGUUCCCUUUUCUCACAGUCCUGGAUCUGGAACUCUCCCGCGGCCUAUAUUGCACUCCUGCCCUCUGCCUGUGUUCUUCCCAGGACCCUCGUAACUUCUCCAUAUUUGUCAUAAAGCCUGCCUCUUGUUCAUCUGCAGAAUUCUCCUGUGAGUGUGCUCUGUAGAUCAAGUGUGGAAAAUCAUGAGGAGCAACAUGAGAGAAAGACCUGAUUCAAAUCUCCUGAGACUCAACUAAUGGAUUAGAGAAAGUAGCAAUCCUUGAUGGUUAGGAUGGACACCUGAGUUUUAAAAGUGUGGUUGGAGUUUAAGGAUAACACUUGGAAUAUACCAAAAGCGCAAAGGAGGAAUAAACAAGGACAGUCAUCCAUGCUUGUUGAAAUUGCUACCACUAAAACACCACUCUGACGAAUCUCUUCUACCAUUACUAGUUGUCACCAGGAGUCCACACUAAAUUACUCAAGAGUCCAAGACUAAAAGCCUCCUCUAUGUAACACUUUCAUUUUUUAAACAUUGUUGCUUGAAAGUCCUAGGCAUAGCACCUAUGUACACCUUUAUCUACAUACUGUGGGCCUGGUGGGAAGCAUUCUUGCCAGGGAAAAGAAGGAAAACUUUGAUUCUAGCCUGCCACAUAUGCCCAUGCGAUUUGUGACAUCCUGAUUUGAAUAUCAGGACUCUCUCUGUUCCUCUCUUCCUUUCUGCAACUUUAGGGAUGAAAGGGAGCCAUUCGAGCAGGAACCAAACUAAAAUUAGUCAGGUUUUUAAUAAAAAAGAAGAAAUACUUCUAAUUUGUGGUCUGAUAUGUAUGUAGCUGAGACAUCAUCACUCCCAUGCUCACCACAAGAGAAAUGCAGAACAACCUGAAAAUAAACAAUUCCUAAAAUUUACAAAGAACUGAUCUCACAGGGCAAACUAUCAUUGUAAUAAUUGGAGAAUUAUUGGAGAAUAAUUGGAGAAUAGGUGAACACAGAAGAGUCAGAGAUUCAGGAGCAGAGGCUUCUGCAGGAGCAGGGAUCUGGGCUGCAACACUUCCACUCUGAAUGAUGAAUUUCUGAAGGCUCAGUGUGCACAAGCUGCAAAGGGCAAAUUUCCAGGGGCCCAGAGGGUGGGGCCUCCACACUUCCAUGGUUUACCUCCAGUACCCCUCCACAUUCUCAAGGUGAAAGUCAAAGAAAAAUCCUUCAAACUUUGGACCAGGGAGAAGAGACUCAACCAUUCCAAAACACACCCAGUGCCCUCUGUUCCCUUUAAGGAAGCCUUCAUUCAAAGAAAGUGUCUCAGCAGAGCACUCACCUUGGGUGCGACAGGAGCAUAAGUGGCCUGGGGAAAGGGAAUGCCCAAAUCUAGUCACUCCAGUUCCCAUGCAGAGGAAGGGACUCAACUCCCUCUUGAAUUCUCUCACCCCAUGGGAAGGAGGAUUCUGAGAAGCACUGUCACUGUCAAAUCCCAAGGACACAGGCUCACUGAAAGACUGAGGUCUCAUCAUAGAACAAUACACCCCCUCCCCUAUACAUUUCUGCUGCAUGAAUAAGGAUUUUAAAAAUCCUGUAUCAAAAGGGGAUUUUACCUGAAGAACUCCAAGUCUCAGAUGUUAUUGAAGAUGUAUCAAAGGAAACCCAAAGCACACAGGAGAGACAAAAUAAAUAACAGCAAAAAUCCUUCAAAUAAACAAACAAACAAACAAACAAACAAAAAACAAAGGAAAUGGUAGCUUAGAUAUCUAUCCUAGCAGCGAACUGAGAACAUAGUUUAACUCCUAGAAUAUAAAAAACUCAACUGAGACCAACUUAUUUGAGUUGGUUUUGCCCAACACCUUAUGUUCAGCUUUUAAUAAAAAAAAUUACAAUGCUUAUUAAAAGUCAAAAGACAACAGUUUGAAGAGACAGAGCAAGCACCAUAAUCAGAUUCAGAUUAUGACAGAGAGUAGGGAGUUAUUAGGCUAUGGAUUUAACAUAUAAUUAAAACCUUAAGGGCUGCAAUGGGAAAGGUGUAAUUAGCCAUGUGAGCAGAGAGAUGAAAAUUCUACUGAAUGUAAAGUAAAUGGUGGGAAUAAACACUAUAUUAGAAACAAAGAAUACUUUAGAUAUGUUCAUGGAUAGCUGGGGACAGGAAUGAAGAAAGGAUCUGUGAGUUGAAGCCAUGCCACUGGAAUCUUUACAAACUAAAGAAGAAAAUAAUGACAGAAGGAAAUGUAAAGGAACAUCCAGGAACUAUAGGACAUUGUAAAAAUUGUAACAUCUGUAUAAGGAAAACAGGAAAGGAAGGA